ACCCGGCUAGCUCAGUUGGUAGAGCAUGGCACUCUUGAUCUCAGGAUUUGUGGGUUUGAGUCCCAUGCUGGGUG
rnacentral:tRNA from 1 species